rnacentral:rRNA from 1 species
AGAGNUGAUCCNGGCUCAGAACGAACGCUGGCGGCGUGGAUAAGACAUGCAAGUCGAACGAUUACUAUCGGGUAGCAAUAUUCGGUAGUGAGAGUGGCGCAAGGGUGCGUAACACGUGGGCAAUUGCCGUGAAGUCUGGAAUAACUUGCUGAAAGGCGAGCUAAUACCGGAUGUGAUUUCUGGAGGGCAUCUUCUGGAACUUAAAGUCGGGGACCGCAAGGCCUGACGCUACACGAUAAGCCCGCGGCCUAUCAGCUAGUUGGUGAGGUAACGGCUCACCAAGGCUAAGACGGGUAGCUGGUCUGAGAGGACGACCAGCCACACUGGAACUGAGACACGGUCCAGACACCUACGGGUGGCAGCAGUCGAGAAUUUUUCUCAAUGGGCGAAAGCCUGAAGGAGCGACGCCGCGUGGGGGAUGAAUGGCUUCGGCCCGUAAACCCCUGUCAUUUGCGAUCAAACCUUACGACCUAACACGUCGUAAGCUGAUAGUAGCGGAAGAGGAAGGGACGGCUAACUCUGUGCCAGCAGCCGCGGUAAUACAGAGGUCCCAAGCGUUGUUCGGAUUCACUGGGCGUAAAGGGUGCGUAGGCGGUCGGGUAAGUCUGACGUGAAAUCUUCAAGCUUAACUUGGAAACUGCGUCGGAUACUAUUCGGCUAGAGGAAUGGAGGGGAGACUGGAAUACUUGGUGUAGCAGUGAAAUGCGUAGAUAUCAAGUGGAACACCAGUGGCGAAGGCGAGUCUCUGGACAUUUCCUGACGCUGAGGCACGAAAGCCAGGGGAGCAAACGGGAUUAGAUACCCCGGUAGUCCUGGCCCUAAACGGUGCGCAUUUGCUGUAAGAGGAAUCGACCCCUUUUGUGGCGAAGCUAACGCGUUAAAUGCGCCGCCU